CUGUCGCUCCCCUAGGAUGAGUUGGUGUUUGUAUGGAGUGUGAGAGCUGACAUAGAACUGGAUUACUUAGCUAAGUGUGGAGAGAUCAGACUUGUUUUGCCAAAAAAAAUGGGUCCGAUAUUUACUUUGGUCAUAAUCUGUGCUCUACUCCCAUUGGAUUGAAUAGACUCAUGACAUGUCUUCUAAAGGGGCGCCACAUUGUCUAUCCAAGCUGUAGUUUUGUUAAAACAUAUUAAUAUAAUGAUGUAGGGAAACCCCCCUCAGGGCCAGGUGGAGUUAGGUCCCCUACCUCAACGUUGAAUUACUUCUUAAUCAAUACAAACAACUGUAGAGUUCAAUAUGAUAUAGGUUUAAUGUAACUUCAAACAGAGUACAUGUCUAAACCAAGUUGGGUCCUGGGAGCAAUUGAAUGGGCUCCAAUGUGCACCUUCCUUAUAUUAUCCCUUUGCUCCACCUUUGCUCCUCCUGUUGUGGGCCUUCUAUAAGGCCCACCUCUCUUAUGCUUCACCUGACCACCUUUGACACCAUUAUUUUCUGUCUCCAUAGCAGUUGUUUUUUUUUAAAAAAUUUGCAGAUAAUUGCAACUUCCUUUAGAUGGCAUCCUAUGCACAUUAAUUCUCAUUUGAUUCUUUUUAGCUGUAGAUACUCACAAAAUAGCUGUUUAAUCAUUACAUUGUGUGGUUUUAAUCAUAAAACACAUAUCUUGCAGUCAGAAAGUGAAAUUACUAUUAUAGCAAAAGGGGAAAGCCAUCUUGCUAUUGUGUGUAUCUAUGCGUAUUGGUAACUCAGGCAACCUGCCUGGUUGGGAGGGGCAGAGUGCCUUCUACACAAUGGAUACAUCAAUCAUAGGUAUGCAGGAGUAGCACAGGCCGACAGAUGCCUUCAGCCUGUACACAACAUAAUUUAUUGCUAAUUGCAAAGCUAUCCCAACAGUAGAAUGUCUCAACAAGAGAAUAUUUUUCUUCCACAAUGACAUAACCACAGUCUUUUUAAACUUUGUGGGUAACUGGGACAUGAUGACGUGGCUGGUCUGAAUCUUAUAACGUUAGCCUAUGUGUUUUUUGUCCUUAGCCUGUUAACUCUGCUUAACGUUACUGUGUUUAUUUCCAUAACCUAGAAUGCAAACAAUGGAAGCAAGUCUCCGGUGGGCAAGAGGACAGCUUGUUGAGCCGGAGUUAGCUGACCAGUUGUUGGAUCUGAUCUUGGAAAUUUCAUCAGGAGAUAGUGGAAGAGCAACCACAGCCUCGUACCCAACCAGUAGGCAGUACCAUGUUUGUGCUACUCUUGUGUCUAAACAUCCUUUCCUACGGGAUCGCACAGGACAAGGAUAUGAUUCUUGGUUGGGAAUGCUUAAAAAUAAGUUAAACAAGGAAUGAAACCCACUUGUCAGUCCUGAGGUACAGUACAGAGAAAAGUAUGGCAAAAGGAGGCUGUCGGUGUCUUUAGCGGAAGGGAACUCAUCACAGGCACAACAACCAGUAAAGGAAGCCAUGAGUGUUUAUUCCACAAUUAUUAUUAUUCCAGCUUAUUCUCUCUUUCUUUUCUUAAGUGGAAAUUAAAAUAAAGAAUAACCUGUGAUGAACUUAAACUCAUAGUUUGUUUUGCCUGAUUUUCACAAGCAGUAGCUCGCAGGAUGACAUUGUUACUGUUGUUCAUCCUAACCUUACAGUUUACUUUGUCUGAUUUUCUUUCUCGUCAAGAGUUCAUAAUUUGAGAAAGAGAAAAUGAACAAAGGGUAGACACAUCUAAUAGCAUUAUGUGAAAAGUGAUCAAACCUUACACUACCAGCACUUUAUAACUUAACUGCAAAGUAAUGUCAUUGUUUAGAACUUAUCUAAUUAAUGCCUAAUUAACCUACACAAGAUUAAUAUACAAUAGAAACAGCAUUUAAGCUGCCACUGCAGACAGUUAAAGCACACUGAGUGCUUAAACACCACAUUGUAAAUAUCAUAUAUUCAUGUCAGAUACUGUAUUAGAUGUGUGCUUUUCAUAGGUGGCAAAGGCUGUGCUGCUGGUGAGCGGGAACCCCUUCAGUGCUGGAGGUGAAAUCUCUCUUCACAUAGAUGGAGUUGACAGUGCAAAGCCAGAUGACAUCUCAGUGGGAGUUGGUGCCCCUCUCUCGGGAUCUCUUCAUCUUUGGAGUUGGAUAUGCAGGGAAUACAAGGAAGACUCUAAUUUUAUGCAACAGUGAAUGGUUGGUAUGAAGUCAAAUGAUAAAGUUCCAGUAGGGGUCAUUAAAAUGGCAAAUUUAUUGCUCUAAAUGACUUCUACCGAUAUUGAUACACAGACAUUUUGUCAGCUGCCUGUGAUUAUUUUGAGACUUUAUAUUGUCAGUCAGAGUACAUGGACAUUUUUAUGGGAACAAGUACAAAAAAGUGAGCCUCAUAUAUUAAUCCUCACACACAAGCACACACACAGUUCUGAGUAAAGUCUGUUGUAUUGAAUUGUUGGAUUAAUGGAUUUAUUGACAAUAUUAAAGGAGCUCAGCCUAUUACUUAGCUACUGAGAACUCUAACCCAGAAGUGACCUAUUUGACGAGCUUAGCUUUAGCUUGAUGUUGCUGUACGUUGUGUGUUGUGUUCAGUACAGAAUCCACAGGGCGUUGUUUGGUUGCAGAAUAACCAUCUCUUUAUUUCCUCUGCUGUGCUUAAAUGCGAACAAAGUCCAUUUUCCAGUUUCCAUCGAAAACCAAACACUCUGGUUACAGCAUGACAGACAAACUUUUUAGCGCCACAGCUUUCAAAAACCCUUUGCCCUUUCGGAGUCAAACAACUGACGAAUACAGUGACUUCCUACCUUGAACCCUUGAGCCCUUGAUAGUAGCACAGUGACAUCCAAUGUACACAAUAAUUACAUUCUGGUUAUUUCAAUAACGUAUUUGGCUCAUCAUGUUUGGAUCAUGUUUAUUGGAUUAAUUCCUGUGUAAUAUUUUGUAUUUAUUGAGUUUUCUAUUUAUUUAUUUUUGCAAAAUAUAAAUGCUCAACCCUCAAAAUCAUUAUGGUUGAACUUUUCAAAAUAUGUAUAUAAAACCUUAAGACAGCUGCUAUUUCAUCGUCAUCAUUCAGUAUUAUUAUAUAAUAAUAUUAAUGUCAUUAUUUUUAUUACUACAGCAGAACCUUCCUCGCAGAACUUCUAAAGGUUCCUCAGGUAACCCUAAGAACGGGUUCUUCUAAGAACCUUUUCUUGAAGGUUCCUCAAAGCACCUUAUGAGGUUCCUCCACAGUUUCAAAUUGAAGAACCUCCAAAAGUUCUCAAGGAUCUUGUUGUUUUAACAGUAUACAGUACUACCAUACAGCAGUUUUUCAGGACCUGUAGAUCAAAACGUCUUCGCUUUAUGUGGAGGGUGCCACUAUCAGCAGAAACUGAACACUUCCUAACUAACCUGUUUUGCUCCUUCAUAUCAGUCGCUGGACUGAAACUUGUGCGUAUCCCUGAGAAAGUGAGUGAAUGAAGGAAGCGAGCUACCUUAACAACCUCCAUGUCCACUCCUCAAGACUCAGGAUUGCCAUCUAUAGCUCACUACUAACUCACUCGCCUGUCAUGUACAGUAUACUCAUACUGUAAACUUUUGCACAUUCCCAUGUAAAUAUUUUGCACAUUGCACAAACUAUAAUUUAAAUAAGUCAUGUUGUACAUAUGCUUUAUUAUUUUCCUAUAAUAUAUAUUUUUAAACAUUCUUUAAUCUUAUUGUCAAUUUUAUAUUUAUGAUUACUGACCUGCAGUACUUGCUUUAUAUUUCUUAUAUUUCUAUGUUUGUUGUUUUUCACCAAAAUACCAAAGCAAAUUCCUUGUAUGUGUAAACCUACUUGGCAAUAAAGCUGAUUCUGAUUCUGAUCGUUUAUUUAAUCUGUAACAUCUAUGAGCCCCAGGAAAUGGUAGAAGGUAGAAUCUCUAAAAAAUUAAAUUUUCUUUUCCUCUGAAGAAAUAUUGUGAUGCAUAUGUAGCCCACUGAUAAGUACAUACCGACCAUUACAGGAUCAUCAAUACAAAGUGGAAUUCCAUGUUAAAGAUAAGGCAUACAGCAUUAUACAGGUGCUGGUCAUAUAAUUAGAAUAUCAUCAAAAAGUUGAUUUAUUUCACUAAUUCUGUUCAAAACGUGAAACUUGUAUAUUAUAUUCAUUCAUUACACACAGACUGAUACAUUUCAGAUGUUUAUUUCUUUUAAUUUUGAUGAUUAUAACUGACAACUAAGGAAAAUCCCAAAUUCAAUAUCUCAGAAAAUUAGAAUAUUGUGAAAAGGUUCAAUAUUGAAGACACCUGGUGCCACACUCUAAUCAGCUAAUUAACUCAAAACACCUGCAAAGGCCUUUAAAUGGUCUCUCAGUCUAAUUUUGUAGGCUACACAAUCGUGGGGAAGACUGCUGACUUGACAGAUGUCCAAAAGACGACCAUUGACACCUUGCACAAGGAGGGCAAGACACAAAAGGUCAUUGCAAAAGAGGCUGGCUGUUCACAGAGCUCUGUGUCCAAGCACAUUAAUAGAGAGGUGAAGGGAAGGAAAAGAUGUGGUAGAAAAAAAGUGUACAAGCAAUAGAGAUAACUGCACCCUGGAGAGGAUUGUGAAACAAAACUCAUUUAAAAAUGUGGGGGAGAUUCAUAAAGAGUGGACUGCAGCUGGAGUCAGUGCUUCAAGAACCACUACACACAGACGUAUGCAAGACAUGGGUUUCAGCUGUCUCAUUCCUUGUGUCAAGCCACUCUUGAACAACAGACAGCGUCAGAAGCGUCUCGCCUGGGCUAAAGACAAAAAAGGACUGGACUGCU